UACGUAGGGUGCAAGCGUUGUCCGGAAUUAUUGGGCGUAAAGAGCUCGUAGGCGGUUCGUCACGUCGGCUGUGAAAACCCACAGCUUAACUGUGGGCGUGCGGGCGAUACGGGCAGACUGGAGUACUGCAGGGGAGACUGGAAUUCCUGGUGUAGCGGUGGAAUGCGCAGAGAUCAGGAGGAAUACCGAUGGCGAAGGCAGGUCUCUGGGCUGAUACUGACGCUCAUGCACGAAAGCGUGGGGAGCAAACAGG
rnacentral:rRNA from 1 species